rnacentral:rRNA from 1 species
AUGGAGAUGGUUGCCAUCAGUUCCAUUUUGUUGCACAUCACAAGCCUUGCCACUCAGAUCGUCGCUGUGGCCAGAUCCGACCGGGGGAGCCGCCAUAGAGCCGACACCUCGGCGGCGCAGCAGCAGCCCGACAGAAGGUGGGUGCUCGAGCUCAUCCAGCAGCUCGUCAUCGACCAGGAGGCCUCUACCUCGACUGCAACCGUCCGUGGAUCUCUAUUGCAAGCACCUUCUGCAUGGAUUGGCGAUAUGAGUAUUUGUACAAACCGCCGAGGACCUCAAGUUCACAUGGUUCGUGCUUCUUUACAUACGAACUCUACAUAUGACAACCAGCAGAUCAAUUGUUUCAGGCCUGAUGAGUAUCAAGCAGAUUGGGUUCUCCAAGGAAUGCCAAUACGAACUCACUUUUUGCAACACACAUGCUCAUCCAAUUGGGCAGCCAGCUGGGAGGUAGACAAUACCUUUUUCCUCUUUCACAAAUAA